rnacentral:rRNA from 1 species
CCGCGAAUUCGCCCUUCGGGGUGCAGCAGGCGCGAAACCUUUGCAAUACACGAAAGUGUGACAGGGCUAUCCCGAGUGCCAUCCGCUGAGGAAGGCUUUUACCCAGUCUAGAACGCUGGGGGAAUAAGGAGAGGGCAAGUCUGGUGUCAGCCGCCGCGGUAAUACCAGCUCUCCGAGUGGUGUGGAUGUUUAUUGGGCCUAAAGCAUCCGUAGCUGGCUAGGUAAGUCCCUUGUUAAAUCCACCGAAUUAAUCGUUGGAUCGCGGGGGGUACUACUUGGCUAGGGGACGAGAGAGGCAGACGGUAUUUUCGGGGUAGGGGUGAAAUCCUAUAAUCCCGGGAAGACCACCAGUGGCGAAGGCUGUCUGCUAGAACGCGCCCGACGGUGAGGGAUGAAAGCUGGGGGAGCGAACCGGAUUAGAUACCCGGGUAGUCCCAGCUGUAAACGAUGCAGACUAGGUGUUUGGACGGCCACGUGCCGUUCUAGUGCCGCAGGGAAGCUGUUAAGUCUGCCGCCUGGGGAGUACGAUCGCAAGAUUGAAACUUAAAGGAAUUGGCGGGGGAGCAC